rnacentral:lncRNA from 1 species
GAUACUGAGGAUGAGGGUGAGGGCGGCUGGGGCUCGUCCCAGAGCAGCCCCGAGAAGCAGGGGGUGGCUGCCUGCUCCCUCCCGCCUCGGCUGCCCUUCUGGCCCGCACCCCCACCUCAGGCUGGGGGUCCACGCGAGCUUUGCUUCUAGGGCCUGUAACCUGGUUUCAUCCUGGUUCCACCCUGCUGACUGGCGUGGGGAAAGGCGUGGCCGGCAGAGGGAGCGAGGCAGAAAGGAACCACGCUAGUCCAGCCAGUCGUGUCCAACUCUUCGAGACCCCUCGGACGGCAGCACGCCAGGCCUCCCUGUCCAUCUCGCUGGCUGGGCGGCGAGGGCAUUGGGGUGGGCGCAGUGAAGGGUGGCGGGGGCCCGGGAGGGUCAGGGGCAAGAACACUGGAGUGGGUUGCCAUUUCCUUCUCCAAUGCAUGAAAGUGAAGCCGCUUAGUCGUGUCCAACUCUUCGAGACCCCUCGGACGGCAGCACGCCAGGCCUCCCUGUCCAUCACCAGCUCCUGGAGCUCACCCAGACGUGUGUCCAUCGCGUCGGUGAUGCCAUCCAGCCAUCUCAUCCUCUGUCGCCCCGUCUCCUCCUGCCCCCAGUCCUGCCCGGUGUCAGGGUCUUUGCUGAUGAGCCGGCCCUUCCCAUCAGGGGCCAGAGUGUCGCAGCCUCUGAGGCCUCUCUGGCCCCUGCAGCUGCGUUCCCGCCGGCACUGCCGCUGCUUUCGGGGCCUGUGGUGGUGGGGGU